UACGGGGGGGGCAAGCGUUGUUCGGAAUUACUGGGCGUAAAGGGUUCGUAGGUGGCUUGCUAAGUCAGACGUGAAAUCCCUCAGCUUAACUGGGGAACUGCGUCUGAUACUGGCGAGCUUGAGUGCAGGAGAGGAACGCGGAAUUCCAGGUGUAGCGGUGAAAUGCGUAGAUAUCGGAAGGAACAUCAGUGGCGAAAGCGACUUCCUGGACCAAUACUGACGCUCAUGUGCGAAAGCGUGGGGAGCAAACAGG
rnacentral:rRNA from 1 species